AUGGCAAUCAAGGUGAAGUAUCAGGUGCAUAAAAACUGGUUUGGUGACCCGUGCGGUCCGGAGACUGUUAUGGUGUGGGACAGAGACUUGUCCUUGAGAGGUCUGAACGGUGAUAUCUCAUCUUCUUUCACCGAUCUCAAAGCUAUCCAGUACUUGAAUCUAUCAAACAAUAACUUGGUAGGAUCAAUUCCAGAUGCCCUUUCGCAGUUAACUUCAUUGACAGUUCUAGAUUUGUCACACAACCAGCUCAAUGGAGCAAUCCCAUCUAGACUUCUCAAAAGAGUUGAAGACGGCUCACUGAAUCUAAGAUAUGGCAACAAUCGAGACCUUUGCGCCAAUGACAAUUCAUGUCGGUUGGCAACUAAACGAAAGAGCAAUCUGGCCAUCUACAUUGCCGUCCCUGUGGUUGUGUCCAUGAUAGUGGUGAUAGUAGUGGUAGUACUCUUGUGCUCGCUAAGAUGGAAGAGACAAGGAAGCAAACACAAUGGAGGAUGUUCAUUGUGGAGACAAAGACUCCGAAUUGCACUUGAAUCUGCACAAGGGUUGGAGUAUCUACACAAGGGGUGCGAUCCGCCUAUAAUUCACAGGGAUGUAAAGGCCACCAACAUCCUCUUGAACGCGAGGUUAGAGGCUAGGAUUGCUGACUUCGGCUUAUCCAAGCCUUUCAUUGGCGGCAAUGACUACGUGUCCACAACGACACUCGUUGGCACACCCGAAUAUGUCGACCCGGAGUACCACGCGACGAUGCAGCUAACAGCCAAGAGCGACGUGUACAGUUUCGGCGUCGUGCUGCUGGAACUGGUCACUGGGAAACCUGCCGUAGUGCGGGAGGCAGUACCCAUCAGCAUUAGUCAUUGGUCACGACAACGGAUGGCGCAGGACAACAUUGAAAGUGUGGUUGAUGCACGUAUGUGUGGCAUUUACAAUGUCAACAGUGUAUGGAAAGUGGUGGAAAUUGCACUAAAGUGCACUGCAUAUGUGUCGCCGCAACGACCCACCAUGAGCGAUGUGGUGGCUCAACUGCAAGAAUGCAUUGAGCUUGAGGAAGGCUGCACCAUUAAAGCUGGGAACAAUGGCUUCUAUAUGAGUGGUGGCAGUGACAACCCAGACUUGAGUUAUAAUGCGUAUAUUGCUGACCAGUCCAAUGAUAGCAUACAUUUCAAAUUGAACACGAUGUCAAGAGGGGAUCUAGAUGAGAUAUUGAAACAUAUUGCUUUUGGUGAACUGCUUCUUGCGUGUGCACCAGAGCAAUUAACGCCACGACCAAUGGCGGCCACGCCGUGGCUGCUCUUUCUCUGCCUCACCGCCAGCGGCGUAUUCCAAGCUCGUGCCCAGCCCGACAGCAAAGGAUUUAUCACCAUAGACUGCGGACUGCAGGGCACGGGCUAUGUGGACAACACCACCAAACUCUCCGUCUCCGCGGACAACGGUGGCUUCACAGACGACGCUGGAACCUGCCACAACAUCUCGGCCGAGUAUGUAACUCCGUUGAUGGGCAAGAGCUGGUUCAACUUGCGUAGCUUCGCAACCGGCGCGGGGAACUGCUACACGCUCCGGUCGAUCGUACCCGGGCUCAAGUACCUCGUCCGGGCCAGGUUCAUGUACGGCAACUACGACGGCCUUCAUCGGCUGCCCAUGUUUGACCUUCACAUCGGCGUCAACUUUUGGCGCACCGUGAACAUCUCCAGCCCAUUCGCGGCGAAGUUCGUGGAGGUCAUUGUCGUGGUGCCGGAUGACUACGUGCAGGUCUGCAUGAUCAACACCGGCGCCGGGAUGCCCUUCAUCUCCGGGCUGGACCUCAGGCCGCUCAAAAAGACAAUGUACCCGCACGUGACCGCGGCGCAGGGGCUCGUCCUGUUGGCCAGGUUCAACUUUGGCGGGGACCAAAACACCGGCAUCAGGUAUCCUGAUGAUCCACACGAUAGAAUAUGGCUCCCUUGGGUCAACUCUUCAUCGUGGACCGAGUUAUCGACGACGAGGAAGGUGAAGUAUGAAGCCGACAGCCCCUUCGAGGCGCCGACGGCGGUGAUGCAGACCGCGAUCAGGCCGCGGAAUGCCUCGCACAACAUAGAAUUCGACUGGGAGCCCCAGCUCCAGCCCAACGACCCGUCCCCAGGAUACAUCAUCAUCAUGCACUUCUCCGAGUUGCAGCUCCUCCCAAGCAACGCUGUGCGCGAGUUCUACAUCAACCUCAAUGGCAAUUUGUUGAACCGAGAUGCCGUCAGGCCACCACACCUGUACGGGGACGCUAGCUACAAUACCUUCGCCAUCCGGAAGAGCUACUACAUCAUCUCCAUCAACGGCACGGCCAACUCGACGCUCCCACCGAUCAUCAACGCUCUCGAAUUGUUCUCAGUUGUACCCACCACCAAGGCACCAACCUUACCACAAACUCCCAGGACGGUAUGUGGAAUUGUAGUGUCUGCCAUCACGGCGAUCAAGGCAAAGUAUCAGGUGGGUAAAAACUGGAUGGGCGACCCAUGCGGUCCGGGGACUGUCAUGGUGUGGGACAGCUUGACAUGCAGCUACGCCAUCACGGAUUACAAGAGUGUGAGUAGUUCAUAUCUCGACCUGUCCUCCAGAGGUCUGAACGGUGAUAUAUCAUCAUCUUUUGCCAACCUCAAAGUCGUCCAAUACUUGAAUCUAUCAAACAAGAACUUGGUAGGCUCAAUUCCGGAUGUUCUUUCGCAAUUAACUUCAUUGAAAGUUUUAGAUUUGUCAGGCAACCAGCUCAAUGGAUCAAUCCCCUCUGGACUAGUCGUAAGGGUCCAAGAUGGCUCACUCGAUCUAAGAUAUGGCAACAAUCGAGACAUUUGCACUAAUGGCAAUUCAUGUCAGCCGCCAACUAAAAAAGCUAAAGAGAAGAGCAAGUUAGCAAUCUACAUUGCCAUCCCUACAGUUCUAAUGGUGGUCAUAGUAGUGGUAGUACUCUUUUGCUUUAUAAGACGAAAAGGCCAAGGAUCAAUGAACAACUCCGUGAGGCCACGGAACGAGAUGAUGACCAGCUGCGCGUCGGGAGAUGAUCUCUAUGGGGACAGUUCGCUGCAACUUGAGAGCCGCCGGUUCACUUACGAGGAGCUCAAGAUGAUAACGAACAACUUCGAGCGAGUACUCGGACGGGGAGGGUUUGGGUACGUCUACGACGGUUUUCUAGAGGAUGGCACUCAGGUGGCGGUGAAGCUACGAUCUCAUUCUUCUAGUCAAGGUGUCAAGGAGUUCCUUGCAGAGGCUCGGAUUUUGACACGGAUUCAUCACAAAAAUCUUGUCACCAUGAUUGGUUACUGCAAGGAUGGGGAGUAUUUGGCACUUGUUUAUGGGUACAUGUCAGAAGGAACCCUCCAUGACCAUAUUGAAGGAAGCAAACUCAAAGGACAAUGUUUGUCCUGGAGACAGAGACUCCGAAUCGCACUUGAAUCUUCACAAGGGAUAGAGUAUUUCCAUAAGGGGUGCAACCCGCCUCUGGUUCACAGGGAUGUGAAAGCCACCAAUAUCCUCUUAAAUGCGAAGAUGGAGGCUAGGAUUGCUGACUUCGGCUUGUCCAAGGCCUUGACAAUAAACAUGUGUCCACUACCACACUCGUUGGCACACCCGGGCAAGCCGGCUAUUCUACGGGAAGUUGCACCUAUCAGCAUCAUCCAAUGGGCGCGGCAACACAUGUCGCAAGGCAACAUUGAAAGUGUGGUUGAUGCACGUAUGUCUGGCAUUUAUGAUGUCAACAGUGUGUGGAAGGUGGUGGAAAUCGCGCUAAAGUGCACUGAAUAUGCAUCGACACAGCGACCCACCAUGACCGGUGUAGUGGUGCAGCUGCAAGAAUGCAUUGAUCUUGAGGAGGGCCGCACUCUUGAGGAUGCAAAUGAUGACGCGUAUAGUAGCCGUGGUGGUGACAACCUGAACUUGACUUAUGAUGGUUACUUUGAUAAUCAGUCUAUUGAUAUAGACCAGAACAACACUACAUUUCAGCCGGAACAUAAUGUUAAGAGGGUGCUUGCAAUGUCAACAGGUCCAAUUGCACGUUGA
rnacentral:rRNA from 1 species